GGCUACCGGUACCGGAAGGUGGAAACCGAAAUGGAUGAAUGAAAUUGCGAUGGUCAGGAUGGUUGCUGGCGAUUCGGGUAUUUUCAGGCGAAGGUUGUUUUCAGUCGAAUUCCAGACGGAAAGUUUUGAGCAUUGAGGGACGAGAGAGAGAGAGAGAGAUAGAGAGACAGCCGAAGUGCUGGUGCUGGUUGAAAAGCGAUUCACAUUGACAAUGCUCAAAGGUUAUUCACCGGUUGGGCAACGUUGGGCGACGUUGGUCCAAGGCGGAGUAUUGCAGUCACGAUUUGGUUUGCUUUAUUAUUGGAAUGGUUGCUUUUGGCAAAGGCUCCGUGUCCACACAUUAACUACAUUUUUUGUGUUAAUCCAGCUCGAUGAGAGGACUAGUUUUACAGUGUGUUAUAAUUAUGCUAACAAUUCCUGUUUAUUUUACUGAUUGUGUUUAAACCAACAGACAGAAAUUUCAAAUUUUACUGAACCGGCUCACAGUUUUCCCAUGCAGCGGAUGUUCCAAUGCAGGCUUUGUAGUGCGAGCAGUGCUAUGUGAAUUUAAUUGUUGCACCAUUACUACCGUUCGUAUUACUACCGUACGCUGUCACCGCAACCCCUUCCCUCGAGGUUUUCAAACAAACUGACCAAAGGACAUCGCCGGUGAACAAAAUGGUACGAUUGUAGCAAUAAAGAUAACGAACACGCAAAGUUCAUGUAGCCGAUGAAAGCAUGUGUAGCGUUGGUCUGCUUUGUUUUUCUUUUGCUUCCGGGUGUCCGAUACGUUCUUCAUGCCACACGCUUUGCCCGAACCUUUUGAUCCUUUGCGUUGCGCGUUUUUUUUUUGUUCAAACUGUUUCAAUGCGUGACUGACUGUUCGUACUAUCCCUCUCAAACUUUGUUCAAGACUACCGCUAUGGUUUGACCAUUUCCGAGGUGAGCUACUGAGGGGAAUGUUUUUAUUCCCACACUCCUCAACCAGCUGGACGCACCGCGGCGGACAAAACGUUCAUUUCCUUUCCCAUUUUCAGCGUGCUGCCGCCUUCCUGCUUGAGCGGGCGGGAAAAUCUAACCAAACCUUGAAGCGAUUUUCCGUGUUGUUGUUUUGGUUGUGUCGGUUCAAUUCCAAUGCCGGUGUCCCUUCUCGAGUCGAAAAAAAAACACACACACACCACGUGACAAGCACGACUGGACAGAUAAACAUCGAGCUAGGCUCGGUACUCUUCGCAUCCUUGUGGAAGUGAUGAAGAAGUGUUUUGGUCUGUCGGCGGCGAUGAUAAUAGCCGUUGGCUAGCUAGGCUCUUUCGAUUUCAAGGAUCCGUCCAGAAAGGUUUUGUUUGGGUUUGGAUGAGAAUAGUUUUUUGUUGCCGUUGUGGUCUAUCACUGUGCGUGUUGGUGCGGCUAUCCUGUGAGACCCUCACAUGGCACUUGUCUUCAAGUUGCUCUUUACGGGGUGUUUCAGAACUUUUUUUUAUCAGUUUUUUUUUUCGGGAAGAAGAGUAUAAAAAGACAAAGAAAAUGAUCACAGAGGCGCUCAGUAAGCUUUAAUUUAAGGACCUAUGUGUACGUUUGAGGCGUACGCCUGUUGAUACGUUUAAUGUUUGUAUGUUUUUGUUCGAUGGCGUCACUUUGUUUAUCUUUAGCACCACGAAACAGUGCAAUGUCAAUAACAUAGUGCGUUACUGAGUUAAUUUAUUUCAAGUGAUGUUGACUCCAUUUCACAUAACAACAUCGUUCAAAUUCCAAACCACUUACUGCGUGGAUAAGAAAAAGAUUUAAUCUUGAAUUGAAUUUUAAAAUAUAUUAUUUUUAAGUGAUACGACCAACUAGCCCGUUCUAACGAGAAAUAGGAAACAAUAUUUCCAACCUGUUUGAAUCCCAUCAUUAAGAGUAGGUGUGAAUAUCUUUUACAAAGAUUAACACUCCUCAAAAUCAUAAACUGCUACCGAGCAUAAAGAGCAGAUUACACAACUGCCAUUCAUUGUUCUUUGGGUACACCCCACAGAUGUGAAACAUGCUGACCCGCUUGGACACGUGCCAUCCUACCCUUAGACUAAACAAAAUCACUCUUGUUCAACCCGUAACGAAACCACCCGUUACGCGUGGUAUAAAAAGCGCCCUAAUUAAAAUAAUAUUUCAACCCUUUCAAUGCUAACAUACCGACGACGACCACUGUAACUGAGCAAACCCUUCGGGCGAUGUGCUCAUUUGUCCAGCGGAAGAAUAAAAAGGCAAAUACAUCGGCAAACAUACCCUCGGGCACACAGCAGCAGCUAGAAACGAUGACCAAGGAGAAUGAAAAUCUUUAAUGACUGGUCUUUCCGUGUUCUUCAUUUGUGUACACGCAGGAAGAAGGAAAUCUUACAACGGGGAAAUCACUGAACCCUUCCCUACGUGAAUCUACUCUGUACUCUGUCAUCCUUACCGUUGCUGGCGACUGAUGAUGCUAACUUCCAUUUCAAUCUGGUGUUCCCGGAAAUAGAAGGGUUGCCGCAUUGAGCUACCAACGCAAGCUAUUGGAAAGGUUAAUAAGGCAAGUGGUUGUGUCGAGACGAUUAAACGCAACCUAUCGGAUUAGAAAAGAAUGAGCUGCUGGUCAUGAAUAAAUUAAGGAUUGUCAACAUGCUUUUCCACACUUUCGAGGCUUUAGAAUCCAAAACAGGGGUUCGGUUUAGGUUUGAAGACAAGAGAUUUGUAAAUCAUUUUAAACGUUUGUUGUGGUUUAUCUGUCAUUUCAAUAUGGUUAUUAGAUACAGCUCGUUUCAUGUUCAAGAAAAAAACAACUAAAUCUGUUUUAAUUGUAGCAAACAAUGUAUCAGUUUAAUGAUAAUAAGUAAUAAUACGUAAAUAAUUUUUCAAUUUCCCUUAAUAUUAAUUUUAAUAUCCCACUAACUCAAUUUGACAAACUCAUUAUUGUAUUUUAAAAUAGCAAACAGUUACCAAGACACACAUUGAAUUUAAAGAGUCUAAAUAAGAAAAAAACUGAUUUCAACCAAUUUUGUGCAUUCCCGUAACAUCCAGCAGAAUUACAAAGCAUGCCUCAAAACUUCAGAAACAAAAAAUAAAACAACUUUGAUAGUUCAAUUCA